UACGUAGGGUGCGAGCGUUGUCCGGAAUUAUUGGGCGUAAAGAGCUCGUAGGCGGUCUGUCACGUCUGCCGUGAAAACCCGAGGCUUAACCUCGUGGCUUGCGGUGGAUACGGGCAGACUAGAGGUAGGUAGGGGAGAACGGAAUUCCCGGUGUAGCGGUGAAAUGCGCAGAUAUCGGGAGGAACACCGGUGGCGAAGGCGGUUCUCUGGGCCUUACCUGACGCUGAGGAGCGAAAGCGUGGGGAGCAAACAGG
rnacentral:rRNA from 1 species